AGCUGCCGCCUUCCUCUCAUCCCAUCCCACACGUCCUCCAUCCGUUCAGAAUCCGAUGUCGGUCCCCGGCCCGUCUUUACGCCACCGCGGGAAGAGGAAAACUCCUCGAACCCGCUGUACCAGCGCCAAGCUGCCUGUCCCGAGGCUGCUUCCCCGACGCCCAGGGCGCGGGACGCCAGCUAGAAUUCCCGACUCCGAAGGAACCUCCGCCUCUGCCUCGCUGGGCUCUGACCACGCCCCUUCCUAAGCCCCGCCCAGGGCUUGCGGAGAGGUUUCCGUGGCGACAGUAAACAACACUCAAGAGCUGCGGGAGCCACCGCAGCCCUGCUCCCCCAACCCACGCUCCUGCAAAUAAGGUGAUCGAGAAUGACAGCGAAGUUGUUAUGAACUGAAACCGGGACACAUGGGGGCCCAGGUGGGGGCCAGGCCUGGGAGGGCCCGCCUGGGGGUCCAGGACACGUGGGCUGUGGUGCCAGGGUCUGCAACCCCCGGAAGAGGCAGCAGCAACUGGAGAACCAGGGAUUGAGAUCUAAGGGAGCAGACGUGCAGGUGGAGCCGGAUGUUGCGUGGGCCCAGGCAGCAGAGGUGGGAUAAGACACCGGGAGCAAGAGGGACUCGUUCAAGCAAGACCUUGUGGUGUUUUCCUAGGAAGGAGCAGGCAACCUGCCCGGCCGGGGGCUCUCCCAGGCUAGGAGUAUGAGCGGCGGACAAGACCUGAUGUGACAGUGACCGCGCAGUAGCAUUUAAAACUCUGGACGGGACAGGGGCGCCUGGGUGGCUCAGUCGCUUAAGCGUCCAACUUCAGCUCAGGAAAAAAUCCAUAGGCAUGGAAAGAAGCGGGAAGAUAUUACCCAUAAUCAAGGGGAAAAUCUCUCAGGAGAAGCAGAUCGCUAAGUGGCAGAGAUGAGGCAGUUAAUAGACAAAGACACAGAAACAGUUAUAAAUAUCCUCUGUGUACUCAAGAAUGCAGAGGAUCGGGAGUGAAAAAGAAGAUACUUUAAAAAGAAAGACUAGAUGGGAUUUACAGCAGAGUGGAUAUUAGAGAGUAAAGAUCAGAGAAGGCAAAUACACAGACGGGAGAAAAGAACAUCAAGGACUUGUCGGACAAUAGCAAAUGGUCCAGCGUUCAUGUCACUGAAGUCCCAGAAUGAGAAGAGGCAGGAAAAACUUCAAAGAAUAAUGUCCUGAAAUAUUCUGAAUUUGACAGAAACCAACAGAUCGAGGUUCAGUGAACCUGAAGCCACAAGGAAACAUAAAGAAAACCACAUCAAGGCACGUCCGAUUAAUAAUUACUUUAAAUGUAAAUGGCCUAAAGACUGCAAACAAAAGGCAGGUAUUAUCAGACUGGGUAAAAAAGCAAGACCCAAAAUAUGCCCUCUAUAAGAACCACGCUUUAAAUAUAAAGACACGGCUGGUGAAAAGUGCGAGAAUGAAAGAGAUAUACCAGCCAAGCACUCCAUAAUACACACAUGAAGUAGCUGUAUCAGUAUCAGACAGAGAAGACCGCAAAAGGACUAUUAGCAGGGUGAUAGGGAAACAUUUCAUAAUAUGCUCCAUUCAGGGGAGGACAGGACAUUCCUGAAUAUGCACGCACGUAAAUAACAGGACUUCAAAAUGCGUGAGGCAGAAACUGACAGAAUUGCCAGGGGAAGUAGACCACCAUUUAUGCGCAUCCUAUUUAGAAUAUAUUUAUAAAUAAUCCACCAUUAUAGUUAGAAAUGUUCACAUCCCUCUCUCAGUAGUUGAUAACUGUAGAUAAAAUCGGUAGGGACACAGAAGGUUUAGCAAUGCUGUAAACAAUGUUGACCUAAUUACCAUUUUUUUUAAAAGACUCCACCCAAAAGCAAGAGUUCUCAACGGUUCCUCUUUCUCUGUGGUUCCCUCCCUGGCUGAGGAACAGCAUUCUUACUCUCUCCUGAUUCCCGAGUAAACCCGCAGGGGACAUGCUUGCUGUGCACGUGAGAACCUACCGUAUUCUGUGCUCCAAUGGAGUGUUUGUGGACCUCCCUGGACAAAAGGCUGACCCGGCGACCCUGUGCCUCCUGAAAGAAAGGGGGAAUCGCAGAGUGGCAGUCUCAGACCAUGCUGGAAAAGCACCCAGCUGAGACAGAUCCAUGCACCACUCUGGGGCUUUGGGAUUUAGUAUCCUGGUUUAACUGGGGAUAUAGAACUGAUAAAAAUACCUUACCGAAAAGGUAAGCCAGGGCCAUGUGGAAAACCAGAUCCUUCGUCAAGGGCUCAGCUGGAGAAAAUCAAACACGUUAUUGAAAAAAAUCAGAAAACAAGCCAUCAUUUUUUCAAAGGGACACUCACUCUGUCAUAUUCCCAUACCUCCAGCAAGGAGGGAAGGUGACCUUGAGAUAGAGGGUUGGCCCCUGUAGGGCUUUGUACCAGAUCUGAGAGAGGUGAAUGAGUCUGUCGUUUCAUUAAGCUCCAUGGUCCCCCUGCAACUUUUCUGACUUUGAUUCUGUCGCCUACAGUUUUUCUCUACAUUCUGCUGUGUUUUUUUCUUUCUUCUGUUCCUCUAGCUAAUGAGUUCCAAUUCCCAUUUGCUUUUACCUUUGAAGGAGUCCAGUGUUCAGAGCAAAAUGUUCCUCAGGAUUUGGGGGACUCCUACUGUUUUGUCUAGCCCAUUUAGGGAAAUCUGUCUCGCCGAGCUAUCUAUAAUUAUUCGGUAUGGGGAUGAUUUGCUGGUAGCUUCAGAAACUGAAGUGUAAUGCAGAAGUGAUACUUGGGCUUCUCACCAUUCCUCACCUGGCGGGGACAUACGGCCUCACUAGACAAACUGCAAUAUUGCCAAGCUGGGGUCACAUAUUUAGGGAAUUUGUCGUGCAAGUCCACAAAGUGUUAGAAUGCCGGAGUUAGCCAAUUUCUCAGAUGAAAUAGCCAACAGCAACAACAACAACAACAACAAAGCAACAAUUUGGGGGACAAGUGACAUAUUCUCCACGGUGGAUUCCAGCUUUUUCAAGAGCGGGCAAAUCCUCUGAUAGACCAACCGACUGAUAAUACUCUAGACCCUUGUGUCGGAUCCCUAGAAUCCGCAGGAAGCUUUUGAACCAUUGAAAUUGGUCACGGUCUCUCCCCACGCUGUGAGGAUUCCAAAUUUUGAAAAAGCUUUCCACGUGAUUUACCAUGGAAACAAAGACACUGACUGCUGGCAGAAUUGAGCUCUGAAGCUGGCAUUUGACUCUAGACCGAUAGCAUUAUUUCUCAGUUCUUCUGGAUGCCUCCACGCCGUGGUGGUAGCAGCCACACUUAUGCAAAGAGCUCAAGCCUUUCUUUGGAUCAUUUGACUUCUGUGUAUGUCCUGGACCGUCUUUUAAGUGCAGAAGCACUGCGGGUGCACGAUCAGACCAGUAAUGUGUCAUCAACAAAAUCAUCUGAGUCAAACAUCUGAGAGGAAUUUUAAAGGCACUAGACUCUUACCAAUGACGACCAAACAGGUGACCUUAUCCAAAAUGUAUCAGAGACGUGCUGUCUGUCGGCAGAAUUCUUUUCGGGCCACUGCCAAGGAUUUGCAGGUGACCUGACGUCCGCUGUCAUUCAGGAGGCAUGCAAAUCAUGCUGGGAUCUGCCCUGUCCCCUCAGCCCUGAAGGCAAAUGGAGUGGAUGAAUCCAACACUGCAAACUUCAUUUAGAAGUCUAUAGCAGGGCCUGGGAGCCAUCUCUUUUCAAUGUCAACAUCAAGGAAGACAAUGCCCCAUCGCCCUGUCACUGUGGGAAUCUAGCUGAGGCAUCUCAACUACCUGCUCGUCGUAGAGGUACAAGAAUUUUCUUUUCUUUCUUUCUUUUUUUUUCCCAGAUAGAGGCCAUUAACUCUCACAGAUGGCCACCCCAAUGACCAGGGGAAUGCAGAGUGAACUCUGAAAGCACGUAGAGUGAGCAGGACUGUUGAGUCUCCUCACCCGACAAGUGCUCAUACCUGGGAACAUGCAAACAGGGGUUGUGUCUGCUUGGCUUAUAGGGAAGCAGGAUGGGGAGGGUGCCUGGCUGGCUCAGUUGGUAGAGCAUGUGACCCUCGAUUUGUAAGU